rnacentral:rRNA from 1 species
AUACGUAGGUGACAAGCGUUAUCCGGAUUUACUGGGCGUAAAGGGCGUGUAGGCGGUCUUGCAAGUCAGAAGUGAAAUUCCUGAGCUCAACUCGGGCGCUGCUUCUGAAACUGCAGGACUUGAGUGCUGGAGGGGAUAGCGGAAUUCCUAGUGGAGCGGUAAAAUGCGCAGAUAUUAGGAAGAACACCGGUGGCGAAGGCGGCUAUCUGGACAGUAACUGACGCUGAGGCGCGAAAGCGUGGGGAGCAAACAGGAUUAGAUACCCUGGUAGUCCACACUGUAAACGAUGAAUACUAGGUGUAGGGGGUAUCGACUCCCUCUGUGCCGCAGUUAACACAAUAAGUAUUCCGCCUGGGGAGUACGGCCGCAAGGUUGAAACUCAAAUGAAUUGGCGGGG